GGGGGUGAUCAGUGCCACUGUUAGCCACUAAACCCUUAAUGUGUGUGGAAACAUAUAGGUAUUAUAAUACUUUACUAGUAUUUGGCGUUUUUCAGCAAUAGUCAUUUGAUGUAUUAGGCUAUUACGUUACCACGACUGCUUUGAAUGCCCGUUGUUGCGAAAACACGCUACAGGUGCAGAGGGAAACCACGGUCAGUGAGCGCCACAGCUGAAGGCAACAGUGAUGACUAUCACCUACACACAAUGGGGAAGACGAUUUUCAGAUUGCAUCCUGGUGAAGUAGGCUACAACAGAGAGGAAAGUGUGAUCCACGCCCAUGUGUGUUCUCCCUGCUUAUGGCACCCUUCAGAGAGAAACCUGAGGGACUCAUUUUGAUAUGCCCUGACUCAACGGCUGAGUACGGCAAAUGCCUAUGAAUUCUCACAAGCUGUGCAGAAGUGGCUGCGCUACACCCCAGACCGGGCGGGAGGAGCUGGACAACCAACAUUGCAAGAGUUAGCGCGUUAAAAGAAAAAAAAGAAAAAAUACAAUAAAAACGAUUGUUUCAUUUUUUU